GUAAGAAACAAGUUUCCUUUGU
rnacentral:snRNA from 1 species